rnacentral:RNase_P_RNA from 1 species
CAGCCAGGCAAUCGCCGCUUUCUUCAUGUUUACAUGUUUGCAAGGGGAGGAAAGUCCGGGCUCCACAGGGCAGGGUGCCAGAUAACGUCUGGGCGGCGUAAGCCGACGACAAGUGCAGCAGAGAGAAGACCGCCAGUUUCGACUGGUAAGGGUGAAAGGGUGCGGUAAGAGCGCACCGCAUCGCUGGUAACAGUGGAUGGCAAGGUAAACUCCACCCGGAGCAAGACCAAAUAGGUUCCCUUAUGGCGCGGCCCGCGUUGGGAACGGGUAGGUUGCUGGAGCCAACGAGUGAUUGUUGGCCUAGACGAAUGAUUGCCCACGACAGAACCCGGC